rnacentral:rRNA from 1 species
UACGUAGGGGGCAAGCGUUAUCCGGAUUUACUGGGUGUAAAGGGAGCGCAGACGGCAGUGCAAGUCUGAUGUGAAAGCCCGGGGCUCAACCCCGGAACUGCAUUGGAAACUGUACAGCUUGAGUGUCGGAGAGGUAAGCGGAAUUCCUAGUGUAGCGGUGAAAUGCGUAGAUAUUAGGAGGAACACCGGUGGCGAAGGCGGCUUACUGGACGAUGACUGACGUUGAGGCUCGAAAGCGUGGGAAGCAAACAGGAUUAGAUACCCUGGUAGU